rnacentral:rRNA from 1 species
UACAGAGGUGGCAAGCGUUGUUCGGAAUUACUGGGCGUAAAGGGCGCGUAGGCGGUUCGUUAAGUCCUGUGUGAAAUCCCCCGGCUCAACUGGGGAACUGCACAGGAAACUAGCGGGCUUGAGUUCGGGAGAGGUGAGUGGAACUGCGAGUGUAGAGGUGAAAUUCGUAGAUAAUUCGCAAGAACACCAGUGGCGAAAGGCGGCUCACUGGCCCGGUACUGACGCUGAGAUACGAAAGCGUGGGGAGCAAACAGG